rnacentral:misc_RNA from 1 species
GAUGAAGAACGUAGCGAAAUGCGAUACUUGGUGUGAAUUGCAGAAUCCCGUGAACCAUCGAGUCUUUGAACGCAAGUUGCGCCCGAAGCCAUCAGGUUGAGGGCACGUCUGCCUGGGCGUCACAUAUCGUUGCCCAAUGCCUAUUGCAGUGCAAUAGGAAUUUCUAGGGCGAAUGAUGGCUUCCCGUGAGCGUUGUUGCCUCGCGGUUGGUUGAAAAUCGAGUCCUUGGUAGGGUGUGCCAUGGUAGAUGGUGGUCGAGUUAGAACGAUACCGAUCAUGUGCAUGCUCCCCAAAAUAUGGCCUCUAUGACCACACGCGUCUUUUGACGCUCAUGACGAGACCUCAGGUCAGGCGGGGCUACCCGCUGAAUUUAAGCAUAUCAAUAAGCGGAGGA